GGCACGCCGGGAAAAGCGGACGCCAUCUUGGCGCGGGGCAGGCCGGGUAAGGCGACCGCCAUCUUUUUGCCGCGCUGCGCGCGCCCCACAGGAAGCCCCGAGCUGGCGAAGUAAAUGCCUGCCUCGCUUCUCGCCCAGGUUUCGGAGGGGCUGGCGUCCUCCCAACGCAGACGGCUCCCCUCUAUUUCUUCGAGUGUCCGGGCAGUCCGGCUUUCCCCCGAAACGAGCGUUUAGCUCUUCUUUUUCCCCGCCUUUUCCAUCAGGCAGAGCUCCGGGCACCCCUCCGCACGCAUGAAGGCCCUUCCCAAGAUGGCGGCGCGUCGGGGAAGCCCAAGAAGUUGCAGGAAACAGCUGGAAGCCCAGCCAGCCCAGGGACCUGUGUUCCUGCGGGGCAGCACCCACAUCCAAAACCCCAGGCACGUGCAAAUGAACUCUAAAAAUACCGGCGGCAGGUGCCAAACUUCACCCAUGUCAGACUCGGCCCCACUCCGAUUGCGGGACGCAGCUGGAGAGCAAACAACACGGGUCACCUGCGGCGGGAACUCGGGCCUCGUCGGCAGCUCUGCAAGAUGGCUCCUCCUAAAAGUGCCACCUCUUCAUUUUCUGACCAUAGAAACAUCGGAGCAAGUCCCCUGGGGCCAAGCACUCAGAAAGAGCCACGGGUUGCUGCUCUGCAGGAUGGCUUCGAUGCACGGGAUGCUUCCUGUUACAGUCUGUGGGUUUCUCUUGUUUUCACACCUGGCACUGCAGACACUGCUGCCCUGAGCUCCUCUAGCCUGCAAGCUUCAGGUCUGGGACUGAAACAGAUUGUGAUAAACCGUUUUUAAUUUCGUGUCUCGGCCCAAUCAGCCAAGUCAGGUCCAAAUCCUAUCGCCUGAGCAGAGCUCAAGGGUUCAGGUCUGUGUGGCGCUACCACCGGCAAGUCUCCUCCUGCCCAGCCUCUUCUGGCAGUCCCAAAUCCACGGCAGGCAUCCCAUGUGCAAGCCCCAAGCCAGAAGGCUGCAGGGUUCAGAUGCCCUCGAGUAUCGCUUGCCCCCAGCCAAAGGCCAUAGGAGCAAGUGCAGGAGCCAGGUGUGUAGCUACAGCAGACUGGAGGUCCGCACCCUGCACCACACAACACCAUCCCAGGAGAUCUGACCUUGGCAGGGAAAGCCUCAGGGGUGACCCUGGUGUCUCCCCUGCCAGGGAAAGCCGCUGGGGCCAGGGCAGUGACUCGUUGGACUGGACAGUGGAGCCAGAUUCCCACACCACCCUGCCCCACCUGCCCGCAUUCACCACCGGCCCCCACCACAGCCGCAGCAGCCAGAGCCCCGCUGCCACCCCAGCCACGCUGACAGUAUCCUGGGGACACGGAGACCGGAGGAUCCUGGGACUCCUGGUGCCAGGGCUUUCUUGAGGUCGCCGCAGGCCGUGAGCCCAGCAGCAGCCGCAGGAGCCACAGUGGGGAAGGUAGAUGCUGGGGCUAUUGCAGCCCUGCCGGAGAGUUGCACCGUCCUGAGCCCACUGCUCUGACCCCCCGUUGUCUGCAAGUCCCCCUGUGCUUUCACCGCUGCUGCAUCACAGGGGUGCUUCGGCACUUACUACCGUGCCCUGCCCCUGCAUCCCAACCUCACCAGGGCAUGCAUAAGAUCCUAUUUGCUGUGCUUCCUAAUGACGCCCUUUCGUUACGCCUGUUGCUUGCUGCCGUUAAACAUUCGUCUUCAAAAUCAGUUUGACACCACCCUUCAUUCAAAAUGCCCAAGCAAAAGAUGUCCUUCAACCCAAAAUGGUCGAAAGAACUCGAUGUCAUAGAAAGGGCGAGAGCAUCACGAACAUCGCUCCUAGAGCUAUGUUGCACCCUGCCCCGGAUGCCUGCUAGAUGUUACGUGUGCGACCCCAGGCCAGGCGCUGCAGACAGGAGAGUGCACCAGUGAGGAGAGCAGCAAGGACCAGUGCUUCCCUCCAACGUAUGCAGGGAGCGUGCCAAGACCAGGUGCUCAGGAAGGAGAAGUCCCGCUCUCCCACCUUCAACAGGCGUUGGCAAAUGCAUGCGUGUCUUCACACCUCAACACAGACAGCCCGCAGCUGUGGCUGGACUCGCCCCAUGAGCGCUGAGGAUGCUGGACAGCUGCCCUGGAGCAACGUGUCCAUGAUGGCCCAGCAGAGGCUCCAAGGAACAGCCCCGGGGAGAAACAUUUCAUGGGGAAAACUUCACUAAACUUCUCCUCCCGAGCCAAACCCCAGAGACGUGCCCUCUCUUCCUAAGGAGCACCAGACCUGCGUGCACCAGGGCUGCACCUAAGCCCUUCAGACUUUGCUGUUGCAGUCAAAUGCCCGAUUUAAACCUAGUGCAGUUACGGAUUGACACAACCCCGUGGUUGAUUAAUAGCAGAAAGGCUUUAAACACAAUACCACAAACAAGGUAAGGGCAGAAAAAGGCUCCUUUUCAAUAUUCAGUACAUGAGCUGCCAUCGAAGCCCCGGGGUAUUCUAGCUGAAAAAAGUUUCUCUCGCCCAUGCAGGCAGGAAGCGGUUUUUGUCUUUACAGCCUUUGCUGGGCACGGAUCCGGCACCCGGGAGGUGGAUGGCUGGGUGCAGAAGUGAUUUCUGAUCUCUCGCCCUCCGCACAGAGCUAGAAGCCCUUCAGACAUCGCCACCUCUGUAGAACUAGGGGAAAGCCUUGUACCUCCUUUCUCCACCAAACAGGGCAUUCGGGACCCCUCGCAUUUGCCUCACUUGUGCCUAAACUAUUUGUAACCCCCCCCGAUGGCACUCCUACAAGGGCUGAGCUCCAAUUUGGGGGUGCUGGGCUCAAGACCUCUACCCAGAAGCCUAGAAAACCUGAUACUCCUCCCCCAUUUGCAAGCUUCCCCCAUAGGAACAACUCCCCCGUUUGCAAGCCCCCUAAACAAAGGGAAUGGCUUAUUCAACUGCAAAUGAAUAAACUUCCCCCCACCCCAGAGUCUCUUUCACAAGCGGACGAGGUCCCCGGCUCCUAUGGAGCAAAUGCACUCUGCAAGUGCCCGUUGUCUGGGCCUGGCACCGUCUCCCCAGUCCCAGCUCGGGGGGUAGGGGCAUGGCGGGGUCUGGGGGCUGCUCAGAAGCUGAAGGGGCGGUUGCAGCAGCGGGAGGGAUCCUGUCCUCAAACAGAUCCCACUGCCAACAGACGGGCGCCUUCCUGGCGCCCCGUGACCAUGGGAGGAAGAUCCCAGCCCAGGCAAAGGAUGCAGCCGAGCCAUCGCUAGCAGGAGGUUCAAAACAGGCCUCACUGGGGUGGGGAUUUGGACUAAAGGACUGCGAUUUGGGUAGGUGAGGGUGGAGGGUGGAUGCACAGGGGUGCAGGGGAUUGGGUGCGUUUAUUGUAACGGGAAACGCAGGUUUCUUAAUGUGGUUUUAAGAUGUGAUGGAAAGCUUAUG